CAGGCUUGGUGCUGUGAUCACUUCCCUGGGGAGCCUGCUGUGUAUGAUUAAUGAUUAAGUGGGGAGGAGAAGAGGAUGGAUGGAUGGAUGAAUGGAUGUUAGUUUGAACUACCCCAUACAGGAGUAGGAGUGUUUACCUGACUGCUCUCUGUCAGGAGUUGAGGGAAAAGUGAACAAAUUGGAAUGGGAAUGUUUCCAGCUAGCAGAGUUAAUCUCUGAAGAUAUGAGGUAAGAGUUUCAUAGUCUUUUGCAUGACAAAAUAAGUACACAUCUGUAUAGCAGCUCAAUUUCACCAAGUCAGGUCUACCUGUGAGUUUGCAGAGAUAUUUUUUUGUGCUUGCAUGGUACACCAAUCUGCAGCACAGCUUGUAGGUUCAGAUCCAAAAUCUGUCAAAUAUGAUCAAAUGCUUUGGGAUAGAGGUCAGACAUGAAAUACUCAUAUUAUUCAUUAUAUACUUUUACCUCACAAUAGUUUCAGAUAUUGUCAGUGCUUUUUAUAACUCUGAAACAUGUGAUCAAAACAAAGAGGUAGGACAGGAAUAUCUGUCCUUUGGACAUUUUUCUUCAGUUUUCUUUUUUUUUCUGAUUCAUGUGUUCAGACACCCGUACGGCCUCACCUUCCUAAGUAUUUUUGCUCUCUGAAAUGAGUAUUGCUGACUGCAUAGGUGAGAUGCAGAUUGUGAACUCUUUAUGCAGUGAACUGUAUUUAUGCUUUGGUCACUGGGUCUGUCAUUUCCACAGGCAGAUACUUGUGAUGUCAAAAGUAAUGACAGGACUUAUUGGCAAUGCCUGCAGCAAGCUUACAGUCUAAGAAAAAUGGUCAGAUUUUUGUCAAUUGCUGCAACUGGUCUGGCAAAGAUAAAUUACACAUUUUUGCUGAAUUACCUUUGUUUCACUAGGCAAUACUCCUUUUACUGAAUUUUUCAUGAUGAGCAAAAUAAUGUGUCUUUAAUUUUUUAUUAUUUUCCAGAUCUUUUUUCUUUGUUGAUUUUGUAAAGCAGCUGCUCAGAUUAUAAGCUAUCCAUCCAUAUAAUGGCCUUUCACACUUUCUUAAGGUUUAAGCACUUUUUAUAUCUGCUCUUCAUUGUCCUCAGCUUGGCCUGCUUUAAGCUGGACCCCUAGGGAACAAAGUGCUUCAUAAACAAUCUUUUUUAGUAUUCAAUUCCUUAUCAUAUGUCCCCUUUAGGACUUCAUUUUAUAUUUCUCUCCAGCAGAAAACAGUAAUAGAUUCUGUAAAUCUCCUUUUAUAAUAUCUUCUAUUUAUUGCACACAUCUAAUGGAGCUGCAUGUCAUACUCCAGUUACUUUGGAGCGCGUGUUUAAUAACCUGCUAUAUAUUAGAAAACAAACAUUGAUCUAAGAGCCUUUGCUCUUCACCAUUGUAGUUAGCUACAUUAGUAAAGCAGAAAAUGCUCUUUUAUGUGAGCACAUGUUCAAAAUUGGACAGGUAUAAUAAAUAUUACUGUGUUAAUAAAAAUCCCACACAGAAGUAGCUCUGCAGCGUUUAACAUCCUGCUUUGCUGAGGCUGCUGAGCUCUUUGGGCUGGAAGUCAGCUUAAAGAAGACUGAAG